rnacentral:rRNA from 1 species
GACGAACGCUGGCGGCGUGCCUAAUACAUGCAAGUCGAACGAACCGCGACUAAGUGCUUGCACUCAGUCAAGGUGAGUGGCAAACGGGUGAGUAACACGUGGGUAACCUACCUCAUAGUGGGGGAUAACAGUCGGAAACGACUGCUAAUACCGCAUAGGACAUAGGAUCACAUGAUCCAGUGAGGAAAGGUGGCGCAAGCUAUCGCUAAGAGAUGGACCCGCGGUGCAUUAGCUAGUUGGUAGGGUAAAGGCCUACCAAGGCGAUGAUGCAUAGCCGACCUGAGAGGGUGAUCGGCCACAUUGGGACUGAGACACGGCCCAAACUCCUACGGGAGGCAGCAGUAGGGAAUCUUCCGCAAUGGACGCAAGUCUGACGGAGCAACGCCGCGUGAGUGAAGAAGGUCUUCGGAUCGUAAAGCUCUGUUGUUAGAGAAGAACAGCGCGUAGAGUAACUGCUAUGCGUGUGACGGUAUCUAACCAGAAAGCCACGGCUAACUACGUG